CACGUAGGGCGCAAGCGUUGUCCGGAAUUAUUGGGCGUAAAGAGCUCGUAGGUGGUUUGUUACGUCCGCUGUGAAAUCCUAGGGCUUAACCCUGGGCUUGCAGUGGAUACGGGCAGACUAGAGGUAGGUAGGGGAGAAUGGAAUUCCUGGUGUAGCGGUGAAAUGCGCAGAUAUCAGGAGGAACACCGGUGGCGAAGGCGGUUCUCGUGGGCCUUACCUGACACUGAGGAGCGGAAAGCCGUGGGGAGCGAACAGG
rnacentral:rRNA from 1 species